GCCGGCUGUGCCCAGGCACUGCCUUGGGGUAGGCAGGAGCUGGCAGGAAGGCUCAGCAUGCGCAGGCUCUGACUUCUGUAAAGCAGAUGGAGGGUGUGCUUGCGUGAGCCUUCAGUUAAGCCUUGUUCUAGAGAGUAAUUAAGCCUUUCCCUUGAUUGGCUUUAGACGUGUUUCUUGAACGCUGCGGUGCUUCUGCCCUGGGAUUUGCGAUCUGACCCGAACUCUGUACUCAGCUCCUGUGCAGCUCAGCUUGGCGUGGGUUCUCCAAAAUCCAGCUUCGAGGUGCCCUUACUGCGUGGAAUAGACCCCCCCAGGAAGCUGGGGGCACCUCGCAGCCUCCUGGUACAGCUCAGCACUGCUGGCUGCCCAGGGCACGCUGCAGAAGAGUGCUGGCAGAAACAGAAUUGUCGUUGCUGAGGUCAACUGGGAGCCACACAAAUUGCUGGGCAAUUGGGAUUCGCGUCACGAGCUUUCCUGCAUAGUCACCCUGAUCCCCGGGGUGGAUUUCCUCCCCGUCCUGGCACAGGAGCCAAUGCAUAAGGGUCUGUGCAUCCACCCUCCUGCCCUCUAACUGUGACCCAGGUGAGAGGCUCCUGCUGGGGCUACCUUUCACUCUGAGUGCUCAGCCAGCCUGUGGAAGUGACAGAAGCAUUGCUUUCAUGAGAACCCUUUGGCUGCAGGGCUCAAGGAUGUGACAGCAUACACCUCGUGCCUGUUUCUCUCUGUGAUCCCUGGAAGGCACAGCUGGGUGACGUAGCACGGGGGGGAUGCUGGUAAUGGGGCCUGCCUCCAGCAGCUUUGGCCUCUGCCAUCAGGAUGUGGUCUGCCACCGGAGGUCGUGGGACCAGAGAAUGCAGGAGGAGAUGCCAUGGGAAGGUGCUGGCAGCUCUGGCAUGCCCCGGCUAUGUGCAGGCGGUGUGUCCCACCGGGAAAGGUGGGUACCUCUCAGCUAAGGAAGUAACGGGCUGUGAACUCAGUGCUGAGGGUGGUGCCGGUCAAACUCCGCAUGGACGGUCUGGGGGAUGGGGCACCCUCAGCACAACCGCAGCUGACAAACCUGGGAGCAUUGGCUGCUGAUACACCGAAGUGCGGUGCUGCCAUCCAGAGGGACCGGAGAGGUGGGAUGGUGGGAACCUCCUGGAGCUGAGAGAGGAGAAGAGCGGAGUCCCGGCCCCGGGAGGAACAAGGCCAGGCAUUGGGAUGUCCCGGAGCGCAGCGUUACGGAGACGGAGCUGCUGGUCCUGGGGGACACCUGGUGGACAGCCCGGCGUCAGCCCCGGGACGCUCCGAGCAGCGAAUCCCACCGGUGAGCAUCCCGAGUCGUGCAGGGGCGGCCGUACCGCGGGAUGGUGCUGCGGUGCCUCUGAGCGCGGCCCAGGGGGCGGCGGCAGCAGCCGGUAAGGCUCGCUUGGAUCGGCUCGGCUCUGCACGACGCGGCG
ensembl:lncRNA